CGCGGCAGCAACUGAGUGGCCUGUUACCGGUAACUCACAUGGAACCGCGAGGCCUCGGGAUGCGCACGCGCGCGGACGCCCUAAAGCUGAGUGUUCCUGGAAAUGACUGAAUAAGUGCCAAGUCCAACUUUGAGUAAUAGUCUUACAGCCAUUCUCUGACAGCUGCCCUGGCCACAACACUGUAAUUGUUUCCUGAGCAGGAAACAACAGGUCACUGCUUUACCAAGAGAACUCAGAAGGGAAAAGGAACUGCUUUACCAGGAAAAGGCACUAAUACACAAGGUUGAUCCAUUAAGGAGAGCUGGCACUGGUAUGGGCGUUGGUUUCAGAUAAGUAUACUUUACAGCCUCUGAAAUGUCUACUUUACCCGUAGGGCUGGUAUGACUUCCCCUUUUGAGUAAAGGUUUUAGCCACCCUUCUGUCCUCAUACACUUAUGUCCCACCUUGUUAAAUAUGUUCUGUGUUGGCCAGCACUGCUUUUUAUUUGCUUCUAUCCUUUCUUUCUCACUCAGAACAGAAUGCAGGAGACACAGCACAUAAAGGAAACACCUAAAGGAAAACAUCAGUCUGCAAAAACAGGGCAUUGCUGGAAACAGGGGUGAACUAAUUAAAGAGGAGACUAAAACAAAGGUUUUCCCCUUCAGAGGUGCUCUGCAAGUGAUUUUUUUUAACUGAACUUGUUCCCUUUUUUACUUCCUAUGAUACAAAGAACUUAGAAAACUUUUUCCUUUAUUAAAGAUUGUUCUGUUCAUUAUCUUAAGUGCCAGGAAUGUCAACUCUACUCUUCCCUAGUUUUGCUGCAAGAUCCACUUGAUAUCUCAAAGAAUGUAUAUUGUUAACUCUUACACCCUAACUUAACGGAUGGAAGAUGGUGAAUCUUUACUGUUUUGGAGAAAGAGUAUUGCUAGUGAUUCAAGUUAAAAAGGUGUUAACAAAAAAAAUUUAAACAGUCAUCAGACCUAUUUCCUGUUAUUUGUUUAAAUGUUAUUUCAAUCUUGGCCUACGUUUUCCAAACAUGGAUGCCUGAAUUUAGGUGCCAAAAACCAUAUUUAGCUCCUAAAAUAAAAAGUGGUGAUAGGUACUGGCAGCUCCUAGUGACUUCAGUAUGUGAAGAGAGGAUAUUCGUGAAACCUACAGAAGAAUUCUGUGUAUGAGGUCAAAAUAUUGCAACACAUGGAAUAUUGCAACAGUUUGUAAAUGAUGUGAUAAAGAAGUAGCUGGAUAUGGGUAGGAGGCUAUUACAUCAAAUUCAACACAGAACACAGCCUAUAAACAAAAGAGAUCAUACUGGAUUAUUUCCUUCUGAAUGAUCAUUUUAAAACAAUAUGAUAUCAGCACUGGCCAUGGCCAUUAUGAGUUUCAUAGUGUACAGUUAAAAUGCUAAUGGAUAUGAAAAGGGAAACUUGGCAACCAGUAGAACACUGAUUUUUUUUUUUAAAGCAAAAUGUUAAUUUAGAAGGUAUACUUAUGUGCUGGUCUCUUAUUACCCUUGCACUACCAUGUGUCCCUAUUAUAAGCUUCUCUUUGUUUCUCACAGCUAAUACAAUGAAGGGGGAGGCAAUGGCAAAUAAUGGGCUGAGUGACAUCAGACUGAAAAUGCAGAUGUCAGACAAAACGGAUAUACAGCUUGGCUAACGAAGCCAGAGCCUGCAGCAAGAAGUUGUCAAUAAUGCUUUGCUAUAUCAAGUUAUUUAACAUUUACAAAAUUCACUGCAAAAAUUUACUGUUAAUGCAACAUCGUUGUUGAGAAUUUACAGUAUCUGCAAAGGAGACAGGAAAUUCAGACUACUCCAGCUGUAACAAAACGCUCAGCAGCUCAGGUUGCUAUGUGUAUGUCAUUCUGGUGCUCCAGUCACUCAGCUGGCUUGCAAUUGAAUAAAGAGUCCAAUUUAAGGUC